GACGAACGCUGGCGGCGUGCCUAAUACAUGCAAGUCGAGCGCGGGAAGCUUGCGGAAUCCUUCGGGAGGAAGUGAGCGGACCGAGCGGCGGACGGGUGAGUAACACGUGGGCAACCUGCCCGUAAGACGGGGAUAACCCCGGGAAACCGGGGCUAAUACCGGAUAGGUGACCUUUCUGCAUGGAGGGGUCAUGAAAGGCGGCGGAAGCCGUCGCUUACGGAGGGGCCCGCGGCGCAUUAGCUAGUUGGUGAGGGAAGGGCUCACCAAGGCGACGAUGCGUAGCCGGCCUGAGAGGGUGAACGGCCACACUGGGACUGAGACACGGCCCAGACUCCUACGGGAGGCAGCAGUAGGGAAUCUUCCGCAAUGGACGGAAGUCUGACGGAGCAACGCCGCGUGAGUGAGGAAGGCCUUCGGGUCGUAAAGCUCUGUUGUUCGUGAAGAAGGGGUUGGCCAGGAAAUGGGCCGACAUUGACGGUAGCGAACCAGAAAGCCCCGGCUAACUACGUGCCAGCAGCCGCGGUAACACGUAGGGGGCAAGCGUUGUCCGGAAUGAUUGGGCGUAAAGGGCGCGCAGGCGGCCUCUUAAGUCUGAUGUGAAAGCCCACGGCUCAACCGUGGAGGGACAUUGGAAACUGGGGGGCUUGAGUGCAGGAGAGGGGAGUGGAAUUCCACGUGUAGCGGUGAAAUGCGUAGAGAUGUGGAGGAACACCAGUGGCGAAGGCGGCUCUCUGGCCUGUGACUGACGCUGAGGCGCGAAAGCGUGGGGAGCGAACAGGAUUAGAUACCCUGGUAGUCCACGCCGUA
rnacentral:rRNA from 1 species